rnacentral:rRNA from 1 species
AACGUAGGACGCAAGCGUUAUCCGGAGUUACUGGGCGUAAAGCGCGGGCAGGCGGCUCGAUGCGUCUGAUGUGAAAUCUCCUCGCUCAACGGGGAGAGGCCAUUGGAAACGGACGAGCUGGAGGGCAGUAGAGGUAGGCGGAAUUCCGGGUGGAGUGGUGAAAUGCGUAGAGAUCCGGAGGAACACCAGUGGCGAAGGCGGCCCCCUGGGCCGGGCCUGACGCUGAGACGCGAAAGCGCGGGGAGCGAACGGG